GUCCAGCAACAUCUGUGGUGCCAUGGGUCAGUGCAUCUGGCUGUUAACCAGAAGGCUGGUGGUUCAAGCCCACCCAGGGAUG